GUGCGUGACAUUAACAGGCCGAGUCGUAACUUUCAAAAGUUCCUUCAAAACAAAUUAAAACGUUAAACAACGGAGAUCGGAUUAUGAGUUUCAGGUGAAGUUUUCGUGUACCUGGCCCAGACCUGGCCAACUAGGUGCUUGUGACAAUAGAAAUAAAAUUGUCUAAUUCCAAUAAUGCAAGUUCAAGAGCUAUGUCUUCUGAAGCUAAACAAUUUCUGUUGCAAGAUUUUGUAAAUCUUCAAGAUAUUGAUGCCUUCGCCAGAUCCAAUUCUUUGCUGCUAUCUAUUUUGCGGCACCACAGCAAGAAAAUGCUGCCAAUUAAGAUUUUGUGGUAAUCGUCACUUAGUUCUAAUGUAGGAGGACAAUGUAAGAUUGAUAGAUUCGAGGUUAAUCCCUAUCCUCUGUUUUGGAAACCUACAAGAGAUUACUGGAAUUGAAGACUGAUAAUUUGUGAAGGAGGAUGAGGAGGGCUCUGGUCGAACGGGGACUUGGAAGGUGGAUUAUCUGAGAAAAACUUUUGGAGGGUCAUGAGGAGUCUAUCCGGAAAUCCUGCUAUGACUAAUCGCUCCCUAGCAAAACUGGCCUCGUACUCUUCUCUCUCCUUCACCGGCCAGGUAUUCUCCCUGGUCGCAGACAAUCCAGGCAGUAUCAGAUACUGAUUUAAGGGUUAACUCUUGAAAACAAUUAAGU
rnacentral:lncRNA from 1 species